AUUGACCGCUGGAGGCAUGCCUAACACAUGCAAGUCGACCGAACGGCGGACGGGUGAGUAAUGUGUGGGAAACUGCUUGCCGGAGGGGGAUAACUCCUGGCAACGGUAGCUCAUCCCGCCUACCAUCAGCUUGGCACCGAUGGGAUCAGCUAGUAGGUGGGGUAGCGUCUCACCUAGGCGACGAUCCCUCGCUGGUCUGAGAGGAUGACCAGCCACACGGGAACUGAGCCACGGUCCAGCCGCCGACGGGAGGCAGCAGUGGGGAAUAUUGCACAAUGGGCGCAAUCCUGAUGCAGCCAUGCCGCGUGUGUGAAGAAGGCCUUCGGGUUGUAAAGCACUUUCAGCGGGGAGGCGUUACCCGCAGAAGAAGCACCGGCUAACUCCGUGCCAGCAGCCGCGGUAAUAC
rnacentral:rRNA from 1 species